rnacentral:rRNA from 1 species
UCAUAGCGACUAUCGUGGCAUAUCAAUAAGCGGAGGAAAAGAAACUAACAAGGAUUCCCCUAGUAACGGCGAGUGAAGCGGGAAGAGCUCAAAUUUGAAAUCUUAAAGGGUUUUCCCUUUACGAAUUGUAGUUUAAAGAAGUGUUUUCUGUUGGAGUUUCGGUAAAAGUUCUUUGGAAUAGGACAUCAUAGAGGGUGAGAAUCCCGUAUUUGACCGUUACUUUCCAGCUGUGUGAUACACUUUCAAAGAGUCAGGAUUGUUUGGGAAUGCAGUCCAAAAUGGGUGGUAAAUUUCAUCUAAAGCUAAAUAUUGGCGAGAGACCGAUAGCGAACAAGUACCGUGAGGGAAAGAUGAAAAGAACUUUGAAAAGAGAGUUAAACAGUACGUGAAAUUGUCAAAAGGGAAGCGUUUGACACCAGUGUUGUUUAGUUGAAAAUCAAUUCAAUAAUUUUUGAUUUUAAGUAGUAUUGACUUCAUCAGCUUGCUGCUUUCUUUUCAGGAAUUAUUGAAUGCACUUUUCAGUUAACAAGUCAACAUCAAUUUCUUUUGUUGUAAAAGGGUAAGAGGAAGGUGGCUUACGCUUCGGCGUAAGUGUUUAUAGCCUUUUACCUCUGCAAUCGGAGAGAUUGAGGACAGCAGCGUAGACUCUUCGGGGUUAGAUACACUUGUGCUAAGCUAUAGCCUUGUAUAGACAACUUGUUGACUAUGCUCAGUCAUGUAGCUUACUCGCUUGUGCUAUUUUACCUACGCUUAGGAUGUUGACGCGCGUGUGUGCGUG